AAUCACACCGGUUCUCGUACGAUCACCGAAGUUAAGCAUCGUAGAGCCAGGUCAGUACUUAGAUGGGGGACCGCUUGGGAACACCUGGUACUGUAAG
rnacentral:rRNA from 1 species